ACCUGGGGUAGCUCAGUCGGUAGAGCACGAGACCUUUAAAUCUCAGGGUUGUGGGUUCGAGACCCACAUGGGGCA